rnacentral:rRNA from 1 species
CCUACGGGUGGCAGCAGUGAGGAAUAUUGGUCAAUGGGCGGAAGCCUGAACCAGCCAAGUCGCGUGAGGGAAUAAGGCCCUACGGGUCGUAAACCUCUUUUGCCGGGGAGCAAGGGCGGGGCCGUGUCCCGGCCCGGAGAGUACCCGGAGAAAAAGCAUCGGCUAACGCCGUGCCAGCAGCCGCGGUAAUACGGAGGAUGCGAGCGUUAUCCGGAUUUAUUGGGUUUAAAGGGUACGUAGGCGGGCUUUUAAGUCAGCGGUAAAAAUUGCGGGGCUCAACCUCGUCGAGCCGUUGAAACUGGGUGCCUUGAGUGGGCGAGAAGUACGCGGAAUGCGUGGUGUAGCGGUGAAAUGCAUAGCUAUCACGCAGAACUCCGAUUGCGAAGGCAGCGUACCGGCGCCCAACUGACGCUGAAGCACGAAGGCGUGGGUAUCGAACAGGAUUAGAUACCCGUGUAGUC